rnacentral:rRNA from 1 species
AGUGAACGCUGGCGGCAGGCCUAAUACAUGCAAGUCGAACGGCAGCACAGUGGAGCUUGCUCCAUGGGUGGCGAGUGGCGGACGGGUGAGGAAUACAUGGGAAUCUGCCCAGUCGUGGGGGAUAACGUAUGGAAACGUACGCUAAUACCGCAUGCGCCCUUCGGGGGAAAGUCGGGGACCGCAAGGCCUGACGCGAUUGGAUGAGCCCAUGUUCGAUUAGCUAGUUGGCGGGGUAACGGCCCACCAAGGCGACGAUCGAUAGCUGGUCUGAGAGGAUGAUCAGCCACACUGGAACUGAGACACGGUCCAGACUCCUACGGGAGGCAGCAGUAGGGAAUAUUGGACAAUGGGCGCAAGCCUGAUCCAGCCAUGCCGCGUGAGUGAAGAAGGCCCUCGGGUUGUAAAGCUCUUUGUUGGGAAGAAAGCAGUUGGUUAAUACCCG